AUCUUGUUCAACCCCUAUUAGCCACAUCCUUAGGCUUGCUCGCUUACAAUUGGUACCCUUCAUCAGUCUUUGUUGGAGAUACCUAUACGUACUUUGCUGGGAUGACUAUGGCUGUGGUUGGGAUUUUAGGUCAUUUUAGUGAAACUCUUUUGAUCUUCUUUUUCCCUCAAGUUCUGAACUUCCUUCUGUCACUCCCCCAGUUAUUUGGAUUUGUUGCAUGU
rnacentral:misc_RNA from 1 species